UGGGGAAUUUUGGACAAUGGGCGCAAGCCUGAUCCAGCCAUGCCGCGUGCGGGAAGAAGGCCUUCGGGUUGUAAACCGCUUUUGUCAGGGAAGAAACGCGCUGAGUUAAUACCUCGGCGUAAUGACGGUACCUGAAGAAUAAGCACCGGCUAACUACGUGCCAGCAGCCGCGGUAAUACGUAGGGUGCAAGCGUUAAUCGGAAUUACUGGGCGUAAAGCGUGCGCAGGCGGCUUUGCAAGACAGAUGUGAAAUCCCCGGGCUUAACCUGGGAACUGCAUUUGUGACUGCAUGGCUGGAGUGCGGCAGAGGGGGAUGGAAUUCCGCGUGUAGCAGUGAAAUGCGUAGAUAUGCGGAGGAACACCGAUGGCGAAGGCAAUCCCCUGGGCCUGCACUGACGCUCAUGCACGAAAGCGUGGGGAGCAAACAGGAUUAGAUACCCUGGUAGUCCACGCCCUAAACGAUGUCAACUGGUUGUUGGACGGCUUGCUGUUCAGUAACGAAGCUAACGCGUGAAGUUGACCGCCUGGGGAGUACGGCCGCAAGGUUGA
rnacentral:rRNA from 1 species